CUGAAUAUGAGUAAUGGCAUACGUUUGUCCCUUUUUUGGUUAUUGGAAAUCUUAGAAAUUAUGUUGUACAAAGCUCUAAACUGAGAAACGAAAACUCUAAGUAAAUGGUUUCCUCAAUGUGAUAGAUUUAAUUAGUAUGAGAAACAUGCCAGAAAUUGUUCUUAGUUCUCUCUCCCCUCCCCCCUCUGUCUCUCUCUUUCUCUCUCUGUCCCUCACUCUCUCUUUCUUUGUCUCUGUUUCUUUCAUUGUGUUUCUCUCUCUGCAUUUUUACAGAGCCAGUCAAAAAUCAAACUGUGCCUGUCAAUAAUGAAAGUGAGCCUGUGAAUAAUCUAAUUGGUGAGUAAUAUUUUCUCAUUUAUUUUCUCCAUGCAUGUAUCCAAUGAUCAUGCUCACAACUGGCAAAUGUUGGAAAAUAUUUCCUUGUUUUCCAAGAAAUAAUAUAUCAACGCAGUAUCACUAAUGGAGAUGGUUAUCAUUCUCAUUUUAUUUUCCAUUCUCUAGUCUUUGUGGUUGGGAAAAUACUAUUUCUUGAAUAAAACAUGGUAAUUCUGAAAUAGUAGUGAAGGG
rnacentral:lncRNA from 1 species